rnacentral:rRNA from 1 species
GACGGAGGAUGCAAGUGUUAUCCGGAAUCACUGGGCGUAAAGCGUCUGUAGGUGGUCAAAUAAGUCAACUGUUAAAUCUUGAGGCUUAACCUCAAAAAUCGCAGUCGAAACUAUUAGACUAGAGUAUAGUAGGGGUAAAGGGAAUUUCCAGUGGAGCGGUGGAAAUGCGUAGAGAUUGGAAAGAACACCGAUGGCGAAGGCACUUUACUGGGCUAUUACUAACACUCAGAGACGAAAAGCUAGGGUAGCAAAUGGG